rnacentral:rRNA from 1 species
UACGAAGGGGGCUAGCGUUGUUCGGAAUUACUGGGCGUAAAGCGUGCGCAGGCGGCUUCUCAAGUCAGGGGUGAAAGCCCAGAGCUCAACUCUGGAAUUGCCUUUGAGACUGAGAGGCUUGAGUACGGGAGAGGUGAGUGGAAUUCCCGAGUGAUAGAGGUGAAAUUCGUAGAUAUUGGGAAGAACACCGGUGGGCGAAAGGCGG